GCGGAUGUGGCGGAACUGGCAGACGCGCAGGCUUCAGGUGCCUGUGUCCCUAAAGGACGUGGAGGUUCGAAUCCUCUCAUCCGCA
rnacentral:tRNA from 1 species